UUUCCGUAGGUGAACCUGCGGAAGGAUCAUUACAGAGUUCAUGCCCUCACGGGUAGAUCUCCCACCCUUGAAUAUUUAUACCUUAGUUGCUUUGGCAGGCCGUGGAAACACCAUGGGCUCCGGCUUAUGCGUGCCUGCCAGAGGAAACAAACUCUGUUUUUGGUGAUGUCUGAGUACUAUAUAAUAGUUAAAACUUUCAACAACGGAUCUCUUGGUUCUG
rnacentral:misc_RNA from 1 species